rnacentral:rRNA from 1 species
UGGUGCAACCACACCAGCACUAAUGCACCGGAUCCCAUCAGAACUCCCAGUUAAGCAUGCUUGGGCGAGAGCAGUACUAAGAUGGGUGACCUCUUGGGAAGUCCUCGUGUUGCACCCC